CCCUUAGAUGUCCUGGGCCGCACGCGCGCUACACUGACAUGUUCAACAAGUUUCUCCUAGUUCGACAGGACUGGGAAAUCUUUGAACGCAUGUCGUGAUAGGGAUAGAUCAUUGCAAUUAUUGAUCUUGAACGAGGAAUUCCUAGUAAACGCGAGUCAUCAGCUCGCAUUGAUUACGUCCCUGCCCUUUGUACACACCGCCCGUCGCACCUACCGAUUGAAUGUUUCGGUGAAGAUUCCGGGUAGGACUGAUUUGAUUUAUUUCAUUUCUGACCUAAAAGCUAUCUAAACCUCAACAUUUAGAGGAAGGUGAAGUCGUAACA
rnacentral:rRNA from 1 species